rnacentral:rRNA from 1 species
AGAACGAACGCUGGCGGCAUGCCUAACACAUGCAAGUCGAACGAGACCUUCGGGUCUAGUGGCGCACGGGUGCGUAACGCGUGGGAAUCUGCCCUUGGGUUCGGGAUAACAGUUGGAAACGACUGCUAAUACCGGAUAAUGACUUCGGUCCAAAGUAUUUAUUGCCAGGGAUGAGCCCGCGUAGGAUUAGCUUAGUUGGUGAGGUAAGGCUACACCGAAGGCGACGUAUCCUUAGCUGUCUGAGAGAUGAUCAGCCACACGUGGACUAGGACGACGACCCGGUACCCAGACC